UACGUAGGGUGCGAGCGUUAAUCGGAAUUACUGGGCGUAAAGUGUGCGCAGGCGGCAGAGCAAGUCGAGUGUGAAAGCCCCGGGCUUAACUUGGGAAUUGCGCUCGAAACUACUUUGCUGGAGUGUGGCAGAGGAAGGUGGAAUUCCACGUGUAGCGGUGAAAUGCGUAGAGAUCGGGAGGAACCCCUAAAGCGAAGGCAGCCGGCUAGACGAUGAUUGACGCUGAGGGACGAUAGCGUGGGGAGCGAACAGG
rnacentral:rRNA from 1 species